rnacentral:misc_RNA from 1 species
UGGUUGUGGUGUGUGUGGAGAGGAGAGGAGAUGUGGGCAGGAUAGCAAGAUUGACAGAAAAGCAAGAACAAAUUCCUACAUGAUGAUUAACAUGAAUGCUCCUGACCAUCCUGGAGAAAGGCCUUCUGAUAUUCAUGGUUCACUAACAAGUCAUCACCAAAAUGGGACUCUUAAUGCCUAAUCAACAGCAGUUAAUAAAAUAUGCAAUAAAUUACUAUUCGGAAAUAUUAAAAUUGAAAGAAAAGAAAAAGACAUCAAUAGGAUUUAUAGAAAAACAAUAAAUCCUUCUCCCUCUAUCUUGGGCUAUCAAAAGAAAAGCAAUUCAUUGUCUUUGCUUAGACAAGUCUUCCUCUGCAUACGCACAAAUAAGUUUGUGCAUAUGCUAAAACCUGAAGUCUUGAAGCCUAGAAGAGCCUGUUUGGCCAUGUUAUUGGGGUCAAAAAGAAGUUUGUGCCCAGGCCCCAAGCAGUUUCAGCGGCUUUUGAGCUUUGGCCAAAGCCUCCUCUGCACACCCUCCUCAAAACACAACACCACCCACGCCACCCCAAAGAAGAAGGGGGGAAAAAAAAAAAAGUGAAGGGCCACAGGGCUGAACAAAGUUAUAGGUAUUGUUAUAUAAGAUUACCGUGAAUUAUAAAUGUAUUGAGUAUAUAAAUUUAUUAGACUGUACCCUUCUGACAAUAGCAUCCACGCCUUCAUUGCCACCUUAAAAACUUCUUUACUUUCCACACAAAAUCUAUCUAUAAAUCUACCCAUUUAUGCCUUGUUAUUAAGGUAUGAAACUUCAUACCUAAGAAUUCCCUUAGUGCCACAAACCAUGCAACUAUCACUCCCUCUAAAGCAAAAUGAAAUAUAGCUAUAAUAUACAAUCAAACAAGAAAUUUAAAAUUUUACACCAUUUUCACUUUUCACCCAUUGAACUUGAUCUGGUUAUCGAUUUAAUUGUUCUGUUACAGUGUCUCACACUGACAGUUAAAUGCCCAAAGUAAGGGUUUACUGAACCAAACUUGUACAUUUAUCCUAAAACUUUAGUAUCUGACACCUUUGAAUUCAAUGAUUGGAUGAAAUAAUACUCUUCCCUAACAUAGAGAAAGUCCCGAGUGAAAGCUUGCCAAAAUGUCUGAGUAAAUGCUGCAGGUAAGUAGUGCAGUUAGAUGGCAACCUUUAUAAACAAUGCCUAAGUU